AACAGGAUUAGAUACCCUGGUAGUCCACGCCGUAAACGAUGUCGACUUGGAGGUUGUUCCCUUGAGGAGUGGCUUCCGGAGCUAACGCGUUAAGUCGACCGCCUGGGGAGUACGGCCGCAAGGUUAAAACUCAAAUGAAUUGACGGGGACCCGCACAAGCGGUGGAGCAUGUGGUUUAAUUCGAUGCAACGCGAAGAACCUUACCUACUCUUGACAUCCAGCGAACUUAGCAGAGAUGCUUUGGUGCCUUCGGGAACGCUGAGACAGGUGCUGCAUGGCUGUCGUCAGCUCGUGUUGUGAAAUGUUGGGUUAAGUCCCGCAACGAGCGCAACCCUUAUCCUUUGUUGCCAGCGAUUCGGUCGGGAACUCAAAGGAGACUGCCGGUGAUAAACCGGAGGAAGGUGGGGAUGACGUCAAGUCAUCAUGGCCCUUACGAGUAGGGCUACGCACGUGCUACAAUGGCGCAUACAAAGAGAAGCGACCUCGCGAGAGCAAGCGGACCUCACAAAGUGCGUCGUAGUCCGGAUCGGAGUCUGCAACUCGACUCCGUGAAGUCGGAAUCGCUAGUAAUCGUGGAUCAGAAUGCCACGGUGAAUACGUUCCCGGGCCUUGUACACACCGCCCGUCACACCAUGGGAGUGGGUUGCAAAAGAAGUAGGUAGCUUAACCUUCGGGAGGGCGCUUACCACUUUGUGAUUCAUGACUGGGGUGAAGUCGUAACAAGGUAACC
rnacentral:rRNA from 1 species